UGAACAUUCAGGAGUCACAACACCGCUCACAGAAGCUGCUGUCUUCAUGGGGGUUGCUGGAUACCAGUGGAAAGACAGAAAACACUCGAAACAACACUGAUUUACAAAAUCAGAUAAGACACACAGGUACACAGAAAGAAAAGUAACCUUAUUCUACUUCUUCAAAUGGGCACAUUGGAUUCAGCUGAUGUGGCUAACAGAUUUCUUUUUAUUUGUGUCUUCUUGUCUUCAAAGGUUUUUACAUUUUUCUUGCCACACUUGCCUGUACGAAUCUCAUAAGACAGACUCAAACCUUCAGAGAAUCCUGCAGGAGCUGAAGAAGACACCAACGCUGUUGUCUGUGGGAUUCAAAUGAG